UCGAUGGUUUCUCUCUUCAGUUGCUGG
rnacentral:sRNA from 1 species